CUCAGGAUGAACGCUAGCGGCAGGCUUAACACAUGCAAGUCGAGGGGCAGCAUGAAGGUUAGCAAUAACCUUUGAUGGCGACCGGCGCAAGGGUGCGUAACGCGUGAGCAACUUGCCCUUAUCAGGGGAAUAACCGUUGGAAACGACGACUAAUACCCCAUAGUAUCACUUCAAGGCAUCUUUUAGUGAUUAAAGAAUUUCGGAUAAGGAUAGGCUCGCGUGACAUUAGCUAGAUGGCGGGUAACGGCCCACCAUGGCGACGAUGUCUAGGGGUUCUGAGAGGAAGGUCCCCCACACUGGAACUGAGACACGGUCCAGACUCCUACGGGAGGCAGCAGUGAGGAAUAUUGGUCAAUGGCCGAGAGGCUGAACCAGCCAUGCCGCGUGAAGGUCACGGCCCUAUGGGUCUUAAACUUCUUUUGUAAGGGAGCAAUAAGGUUCACGUGUGGACUGAUGAGAGUACCUUACGAAUAAGCAUCGGCUAACUCCGUG
rnacentral:rRNA from 1 species